UGGGGAAUAUUGCACAAUGGAGGAAACUCUGAUGCAGCAACGCCGCGUGGAGGAUGACGCAUUUCGGUGUGUAAACUCCUUUUAUAUGGGAAGAUAAUGACGGUACCAUAUGAAUAAGCACCGGCUAACUCCGUGCCAGCAGCCGCGGUAAUACGGAGGGUGCAAGCGUUACUCGGAAUCACUGGGCGUAAAGCGCGCGCAGGCGGCCUUUUAAGUUGGAUGUGAAAGCCUAUGGCUCAACCAUAGAACUGCAUCCAAAACUAUCAGGCUAGAGUGUGGGAGAGGAAGAUGGAAUUAGUUGUGUAGGGGUAAAAUCCGUAGAGAUAACUAGGAAUACCAAAAGCGAAGGCAAUCUUCUGGAACAUUACUGACGCUGAGGCGCGAAAGCGUGGGGAGCAAACAGG
rnacentral:rRNA from 1 species